GACGGAGGGUGCAAGCGUUGCUCGGAAUCACUGGGCGUAAAGGGUGCGUAGGCGGUCUCUCAAGUCUGGCGUGAAAGCCCAAGGCUCAGCCUUGGAAGUGCGCUAGAAACUGAGAGGCUUGAGUGCCGGAGGGGAGAGUGGAAUUCCCGGUGUAGCGGUGGAAUGCGUAGAGAUCGGGAAGAACAUCGGUGGCGAAGGCGGUCUGCUGGGCCGUUGCUGACGCUGAGGCGCGACAGCGUGGGGAGCAAACAGG
rnacentral:rRNA from 1 species